rnacentral:lncRNA from 1 species
GAAAAGGAGAAAAGCCGGUUCCCAGGUAACAGCUAAGUCAGUCAGUAGCUGAAAGACCCCCAAGGCAGCUGUAGAUCUCUGUUCUUCGCCUGAGUCUCUCAAGCCGGCCAACGGGAAGCUCUGCAAUACCAGAGGGGGCCGCUAGGGAGUGCUCGCCAACAGCCAGGCUCCAGAAAGGAAGGAGCCGGCCAAGCCAAGAAGACCGGAAGGCAAUCGAUCAGAGUCGCCCUGGCAACCGGGCUGAGCCCGAGACAGACAGCACGUCGAUAAUGAAAUCAUCGUUAAAUGACUUCAAGCCCUAAUUAAUAAUCCAGGCCAACCGAGGCCAUGCCUGACUGGGGUCGGGGGAGGGGAUGUCAUUGUUGGGGGAGCACUGGAAGCUUCUGGACAAUUAAUCAAUUAAUCCACUCACUCAAUAAUUGGCUCCUUUGUCCUCUGUCAUGCCCCCUCCCCCACCUCAUCCACCUCUGACUGUGGAGAGGGGAAGAAGAGAUGUGGGGCUCAGUUUCCAAGGGCCACAGUUCUUUGCUCUCCCCUCCUUUUUUUCCACACAUCUGUUUCCUGAGCCAGCUCACAAAAGCUUCCCUAAGGCAGGACUUGCCUGCGCUCUUCCACAGGACCUACCAAAGAGUGAACAUUUCAGGACCCGGAGUCCCCUGCUAUCCAGGGGGCGAGGAACGCGGCUCUGCGGAGGAGCGGAAUCUUCUCAGCAGCGACCUGCGAAGGGUUCAGCGGCCACAGGAGGGCGGCAGAGAACAGUGCUCCCUACAGAUCCAGACAUCGGCCCUGGAUGCUGUCUGGAAUCCAGAUUCUUCUUGCUGCCACUGGUUCUCCUUUCAUCUCAAAAGCUGAGCCACCCAGGGAGGUGGGCACAGAAAAGAGAAAAGAAGAAAAGUAGGAGGGAUUGGGAAGAAAAUCUGUCUACAAGUCAGAAGAGGACUCUGUCCCUGCCCCCUUUACUCUCAGCUGGUAAGUUCUACCUAGAGUCUGACAUCAGUCCUCUGGCUAGUCCUCACUUUAUCUACUCUCCUUGAAGCUACAGAGCUACAGAAGCUGAGAGUAAAUGAGGAGAAGUGGA